rnacentral:rRNA from 1 species
CGGACGGGUGAGUAACACGUGGAUAACCUACCUAUAAGACUGGGAUAACUUCGGGAAACCGGAGCUAAUACCGGAUAAUAUAUUGAACCGCAUGGUUCAAUAGUGAAAGACGGUUUUGCUGUCACUUAUAGAUGGAUCCGCGCCGCAUUAGCUAGUUGGUAAGGUAACGGCUUACAAGGCAACGAUGCGUAGCCGACCUGAGAGGGUGAUCGGCCACACUGGAACUGAGACACGGUCCAGACUCCUACGGGAGGCAGCAGAC